GAGGGAGGACUCUGAUGAAACAUCAGGUUUCUCUUUAUUGGAUGACAAGUAUAGAAAACAGAAAUAAAUAUACAAAAUUCAAGUGCUUGACAGGGUCCACCCGUCCCUGAGAAUUCAUGUCUGAUAACUGUCAAUAGAGGAGAAAGAUAUUUGCACACGCUCCUGUAAACGAACUCCUGGCCACACCUUGUAAACAACCCUAAUGAAAUCCAUUGGGUCACUAAAUAAAUAGACAUAGAAAGAGAGUAGAAGGGCAGACAACAAUGCGGUGUCCAUGCUAGGCUUGCUGCUGCGGACAUUCCGGCAGGCAGUUCCUCCAUCAGUGUCAGGUCAAGUUCAAGGUUACUAUGUAGACUGGAGAAUGUUGAGUGAUUUGAAGAGACAGAAAAUGGCUUAUGAAUAUGCAGAUGAGAGGCUUUGGAUCAAUUCGCUCAGAAAGAAUACCAUUUUGCCAAAGGAUCUUCAGGAAAUAGCUGGUGAUGAAAUUGCUGCCCUUCCACGGGAUAGCUAUCCUGUUAGAAUCAGAAAUCGGUGUGUUAUGAUAUGACAUCUCGCCCACGUAGUGUUAAGCGUUGCUGGAAACUUAGUCGCAUUGUCUUCUGCCACUUAGCUGACCAUGGGCUACUUUCUGGAGUCCAGCGAGCAAUAUGGUAAAACCAUUUCAGAACC